GGGGGGUGCAAGCGUUAUUCGGAAUCACUGGGCGUAAAGAGCGCGUAGGCGGUUUCUUAAGUCAGAUGUGAAAGCCCGGGGCUUAACCCCGGAAGUGCAUUUGAAACGGAGGGACUUGAGUAUGGGAGAGGGAAGUGGAAUUCCUGGUGUAGCGGUGAAAUGCGUAGAUAUCAGGAGGAACACCGGUGGCGAUGGCGACUUCCUGGACCAAUACUGACGCUGAGGCGCGAAGGCGAGGGGAGCAAACAGGAUUAGAUACCCUGGUAGUCCACGCAGUAAACGUUGAACACUAGGUGUAGCGGGUAUUGACCCCCCUGCUGUGCCGCAGCUAACGCAUUAAGUGUUCCGCCUGGGGGAGUACGGCCGCAAGGCCA
rnacentral:rRNA from 1 species